rnacentral:lncRNA from 1 species
CGGGAGAUCCAGACCUCCGUCCGCCUCGUCCUCCCCGGGGAGCUCGCCAAGCACGCCGUCUCCGAGGGCACCAAGGCCGUCACCAAGUUCACCUCCUCCUAGACUGACGACGCGCCGCUUGUUGUGACAGAUGUGGCCGUCUGCUGUAUCUGUAGUCGCUGUUGACUCUGCUUAUCUCCAUCUGCAAGUAGUGGUAGCUGUAGUGCGCGUGCUGGGUGAUGAUUGCCAACGCUUUGUUGGCUGGUUGGAUGUAAGAACUGAACGUGUUGCUUUUGCAAACUGAUGAAAUCUAUCUAGAAAAUGUCGCAGUUGUGGUA